rnacentral:rRNA from 1 species
AUGAUCAUUUUCAUGGGGAACCCCCCUCCCCGCUCGGAGGCUCGGAGGCUACACCCAGUGAGUGAGCUGGCGCGCCACCACUGGAAGCAAGCCGCGCCGGCUGCACCCCGCAGCCGCCUGUCAGCAACAUCAUCAGUCAGCGGACCCCCGCAUCCGCGCCCAACAUCAUCAGUCGGCGGACCCCGCGUCCGCGCCCGACAGCUCCAGCCGACAUCAUCUACACCAACAAACGCAAAAAGCCUCCACCCAACUUUUCCAAGUUACCCGGAGGCUCGGAGGCUACACCCAGCGGGUGCGCUGGCGCGCCCCCGCCUGAAGCAAGCUACGCCGGCUGCAGCCUGCAGCCGGCUGUCACCGACAUUUUCUACAUCAACACCCGCCAAAAAACCUCCGCCCAACUUUGCCAAGUUGCCCGGAGGCUUGGGGGCUACUGUUGGAGUAAUUGGCCACGGGUACCCCAAAAACGGCGAGACAAUUAUUCAAGACAUCGGGGCUAGCAAAGCCCCUCAGUCCGACUGCCCGGCCGCACCUGCCGGCUCCCCAUCCGACUGCUCUGCCCGGCCGGCGGCCGGUUGCUAA